UACGUAGGGACCAAGCGUUGUUCGGAUUUACUGGGCGUAAAGGGCGCGUGAGGCGCUUGACAAGUCACUUGUGAAAUCUCCGGGCUUAACUCGGAACGGCCAAGUGAAACUGUCAUGCUAGAGUGCAGAAGGGGCAAUCGGAAUUCUUGGUGUAGCGGUGAAAUGCGUAGAUAUCAAGAGGAACACCUGAGGUGAAGACGGGUUGCUGGGCUGACACUGACGCUGAGGCGCGAAAGCCAGGGGAGCAAACGGG
rnacentral:rRNA from 1 species